rnacentral:rRNA from 1 species
CGGGACACGUGGUAUCCUGUCUGAAUAUGGGGGGACCAUCCUCCAAGGCUAAAUACUCCUGACUGACCGAUAGUGAACCAGUACCGUGAGGGAAAGGCGAAAAGAACCCCGGCGAGGGGAGUGAAAAAGAACCUGAAACCGUGUACGUACAAGCAGUGGGAGCACGCUUCGGCGUGUGACUGCGUACCUUUUGUAUAAUGGGUCAGCGACUUAUAUUCUGUAGCAAGGUUAACCGAAUAGGGGAGCCGAAGGGAAACCGAGUCUUAACUGGGCGUUAAGUUGCAGGGUAUAGACCCGAAACCCGGUGAUCUAGCCAUGGGCAGGUUGAAGGUUGGGUAACACUAACUGGAGGACCGAACCGACUAAUGUUGAAAAAUUAGCGGAUGACUUGUGGCUGGGGGUGAAAGGCCAAUCAAACCGGGAGAUAGCUGGUUCUCCCCGAAAGCUAUUUAGGUAGCGCCUCGUGAAUUCAUCUCCGGGGGUAGAGCACUGUUUCGGCAAGGGGGUCAUCCCGACUUACCAACCCGAUGCAAACUGCGAAUACCGGAGAAUGUUAUCACGGG